rnacentral:rRNA from 1 species
CAGCCGCCGCGGUAAUACGGAGGGCGCGAGCGUUGUCCGGAUUCACUGGGCGUAAAGCGGGUGUAGGCGGUCGGGUAAGUCGGACGUGAAAGCCCGGGGCUCAACCCCGGAAGGGCGUCCGAAACUGCUCGACUUGAGGGCGGGAGAGGGAAGUGGAAUUCCCGGUGUAGCGGUGAAAUGCGUAGAUAUCGGGAGGAACGCCGGUGGCGAAGGCGGCUUCCUGGCCCGUUACUGACGCUGAGGCACGAAAGCCAGGGGAGCGAACCGGAUUAGAUACCCGGGUAGUCCUGGCUGUAAACCAUGGGCGCUAGGUGUGGGUGGUGGUGAGCCAUCUGUGCCGAAGCUAACGCGUUAAGCGCCCCGCCUGGGGAGUACGGUCGCAAGGCUGAAACUUAAAGGAAUUGGCGGG